AUUGAACGCUGGCGGCAGGCCUAACACAUGCAAGUCGAACGAGUGGCGGACGGGUGAGUAAUGUCUGGGAAACUGCCUGAUGGAGGGGGAUAACUCCUGGAAACGGUAGCUAAUACCGCAUACCAUCAGAUUUUCCCCGAUGGGCUUAGCUAGUAGGUGGGGUAACGGCGCACCUAGGCGACGAUCCCUAGCUGGGCUGAGAGGAUGACCAGCCAAACUGGAACUGAGCCACGGGCCAGACGCCUACGGGAGGCAGCAGUGGGGAAUAUUGCACAAUGGGCGAAAGCCUGAUCCAGCCAUGCCGCGUGUGUGAAGAAGGUCUUCGGAUUGUAAAGCACUUUAAGUUGGGAGGCGUUACCAACAGAAUAAGCACCGGCUAACUUCGUGCCAGCAGCCGCGGUAAUUC
rnacentral:rRNA from 1 species